UGGGGAAUAUUGUACAAUGGAGGGAACUCUGAUGCAGCGACGCCGCGUGAGAGAUGAAGGAAUCCGUUUCGUAAAACUCUGUUCUAUGGGAAGAAAAGGACUGUACCAUAGGAGAAAGCUCCGGCUAAAUACGUGCCAGCAGCCGCGGUAAUAAGUAUGGAGCGAGCGUCGUCCGGAAUUAUUGGGCGUCAAGGGUGCGCAGGCGGCUUUACAAGUUGGUUGUGAAAUAUUGUUGUUCAACCACAAACGUGCAUCCAAAACUGCAAAGCUUGAGUUAAGGAGAGGUAAGUAGAAUUCCUGGUGUAGCGGUAGAAUGCGUAGAUAUCAGGAGGAAUACCGGUGGCGGAGACGCCUUACUGGACUUAAACUGACGCUGAGGCACAACAGCGUGGGGAGAAAACAGG
rnacentral:rRNA from 1 species